rnacentral:ribozyme from 14 species
AGGGAGAAAAAAUAAUUCUGCUGCUGCUGCUGGAUGAUGAGUUUUCCUGUUAUUGUUUUUUUUUUUUUUUCCUUUCCCUGCUUUCCCAUUC